GGGCGAGUGGUGGAACGGUAUACACGGCGGACUUAAAAUCCUCUGGCUAACAAGCCUUGUGGGUUCGAAUCCCACCUCGCCCACCA
rnacentral:tRNA from 1 species